CAAAAAAUCUCUGACGCACUUAGUCCACAUAAUUGACCUGCGCAGGCGACAUGUGUCACUUAUAUUAACAGCGAGAGGUGCCGGCGUUCAUCAGACUGUAGCUAACAUUCGAAGCGUGCGAACGUGUUUAAAUAUAAAAAUCAGUGAAAAUGUACACAAAUCCAUUUGAAAGGAAACACUCAGUGUUGAGGCAAGCCCUUGAUAAGUUCAUCAAGGGUGAAACGAGGCUCAGCUUCAGGAAGAAGAAUACCUUAUCAAAGAGGAUUAGCAGUGAUUCUUCGAUGUCGUCAACUAGUACCACGGAUAGUUCUCAGAAGUUCAGCUUGAAGAGAUGAACUGGUAUACGGUGAUGUUUUUGUGAAAAAAAUUGCUACGGUCUACUCAUGAAAAGGUUGAGUGGGGUCAUAUUUCGGAACUGGUUUCUUGACGUCAGAAAAUCAGGUUAUAAUCAUUAGUUAGUGGAAGUGUGUGCAACAUAAUGGUACUAUAAAUUAAAGAGAUUUAUAUA